UUUGUCCUACGGGACGCAGCAGUAGGGAAUCUUCCACAAUGGACGAAACCCUGAUGCAGCAACGCCGCGUGAGUGAAGAAGUCAUUCGUGAUGUAAAGCUCUAUCAGCAGGGAAGAAAAUGACGGUACCUGAGUAAGAAGCCCCGGCUAACUACGUGCCAGCAGCCGCGGUAAUACGUAGGGGGCAAGCGUUAUCCGGAUUUACUGGGUGUAAAGGGAGCGUAGACGGCCAGACAAGUCUGAAGUGAAA
rnacentral:rRNA from 1 species